UACGUAGGGUGCAAGCGUUAAUCGGAAUUACUGGGCGUAAAGCGUGCGCAGGCGGUUUUGUAAGUCUGUCGUGAAAUCCCCGGGCUCAACCUGGGAAUUGCGAUGGAGACUGCAAGGCUAGAAUCUGGCAGAGGGGGGUAGAAUUCCACGUGUAGCAGUGAAAUGCGUAGAGAUGUGGAGGAACACCGAUGGCGAAGGCAGCCCCCUGGGUCAAGGAUUGACGCUCAUGCACGAAAGGCGUGGGGGCAAACAGG
rnacentral:rRNA from 1 species